rnacentral:rRNA from 1 species
GUAGGUGAACCUGCGGAAGGAUCAUUAUUGAUUGGUCGAAAGACCUUAUCAGAUUCUACCACCUCUGUGAACCGUUGACCUCCGGGUUAAUAAUCAAACAUCAGUGUAACGAACGUAAGAGUAUCUUAAUUAAACAAAACUUUUAACAACGGAUCUCUUGGCUCUCGCAUCGAUGAAGAACGCAGCGAAAUGCGAUAAGUAAUGUGAAUUGCAGAAUUCAGUGAAUCAUCGAAUCUUUGAACGCACCUUGCGCCUUUUGGUAUUCCGAAAGGCAUGCCUGUUUCAGUGUCAUGAAAUCUCAAUCUAAUAUGUUUUCUGAACAUGUUAGGCUUGGACUUGGGUGUCUGCCAGCAAUGGCUCACCUCAAAUGACUUAGUGGAACAUCCCACAUCAGUGUUAGACGUAACAAGUUUCGUCUCUCCUUGUGGUGAUGACUGCUCAAAACCUGCCAUCGCGCACCUUUUGACUUUGACCUGAAAUCAGGUAGGGCUACCCGCUGA